AUCUGAGGCCUAAAUAUGAAAAAGGCACCAGAUCCUAUCUGAUCUUGGAAACUAAGCAGCGUCAGUCCUGGUUAGUACUUGGAGUGGAGACCUCCAAUGGAUACCUGGUGCUGUAGGCU
rnacentral:rRNA from 1 species